rnacentral:rRNA from 1 species
CCUACGGGGGGCAGCAGUGAGGAAUAUUGGUCAAUGGCCGGAAGGCUGAACCAGCCAAGCCGCGUGAAGGAAGAAGGUGCCAAGGAUUGUAAACUUCUUUUGUCAGGGGACAAAGUCAGGCUUGAGAGCCUGACCGAGGGUACUCUAAGAAAAAGCAUCGGCUAACUCCGUGCCAGCAGCCGCGGUAAUACGGAGGAUGCGAGCGUUAUCCGGAUUUAUUGGGGUUAAAGGGCGCGUAGGCGGAGCGUUAAGGCAGCGGUGAAAGGUCGGGGCCCAACCCCCGCGAGGCCGUUGAAACUGGGUGUCUUGAGAGGAGGAGAGGUAUGCGGAAUGCGUAGUGUAGCGGUGAAAUGCUUAGAUAUUACGCAGAACUCCGAUUGCGAAGGCAGCAUACCGGACUCUAUCUGACGCUGAGGCACGAAAGCGUGGGUAUCGAACAGGAUUAGAUACCCGUGUAGUC